GAUGAGUGAGGUGUUACCUGGACAAGUUUUGCUCGUCACCCCUUCCUCACGAAGCCGUGCAUAGCUAGGGUUGGGGCCGCCGCCGCCUCCCGUCCAAGCUCCUUCGGGCUGUCCACUGGACAAGGCAUUCUCAGAUCCGCUUCUCCCCCAAACCUUCUGGUCUUCACGUUCCACCAUGCCGCCAUGAUGGUUGCAGAGGAGGGGAGGAAGGGGAUGGCAUCGAGGUUCUGAUGGAGGCCCUAGCUCAAGGCGGCGAGUUGCAGAGGUGCGGUCAUUCCUCUCAUUCUUUGGUCGUUCUAUUUAAGAUCUUGCCCCGUCCCUGAACUUGUUGUCAAACUCUUGGAUAUUUUAAUUGGUGGCACUAACAUGAGAAGUGAGGCCAACCAGCUUGUGAAGGGAGUCAAUCUAUUAGUUGCUACGCCGGGCAGGCUUCUGGACCAUCUGAAAAGUACCGGUGGUUUCAACUACAAAGGGCUAAAGUCUAUCCUUUUUCUUGUCCAGGACUGGAAGUGUCUACCUGUUAAUACUGAAUUAGAUGCCUUAUAAUUGAUGAAGUUGACCACAUACUUGAGCAAAAUUUCGAGGAGGACAUGAAACAAAUAUUUACCUCCCUCAGGCUCAAAAUGUUAGUGGAUCUGUUAUUCAACCUAUUCAAACUUCCCCCAAUUUCCCUGUCAUCCCACAGGUUGAAGAUAUUGCAAAUUUUACGUUUGGGAAAAAGAAAUAAGGACACCGAAAACUUGUUUAUGUUGGAGUAGAUGACUUGACUCUGAAUUAAAGAUUUUGAUUCAGCCUGGAGGUCCACAAACACUCAUUCUUGUAUUCAACAAACUGAGAGAUGUGCAUCUUUACAAUAAAUUUGCUGACUGCGAUCUGAAUUGGACCCUUUUAUCCUUGAAGAUGCACCUUCAAUUCGGCCAGGACACUGUCGAGAGCUCAGGAUACAUACAAGUCGAGCUAAUCUAUGACGACCCAAAACUCUGCCAAGUAGUCUUGGAUACUUGGUACUGUGAAAACCGCAAUCAUCUAUAGCACUAUGCUCCCUGGUUUUAAAGGCCUCACAGCCAAUUGAGGACUCACCACAGGAAUAGAGUGUCAUGUCCUUUUGUACCCAAGAGGAUUUGGAAGAGUGUUUGAUAGCAUAUGAAAAACAAAGGGAUUUAACAAAGAGGUUUGAUUGAAUGUAAAUUUUCCUCCAAAAUGUAGUACAAAUGAAUUCUACAGAAAAAUUCCUAAGAAUUUCAA